rnacentral:tRNA from 1 species
GCCUCCGUGGCGCAAUCGGCUAGCGCGUUCGGCUGUUAACCGAAAGGUUGGUGGUUCGAGCCCACCCGGGGCGGUG